rnacentral:rRNA from 1 species
GGAAACCGGGGCUAAUACCGGAUAACAUUUUGAACCGCAUGGUUCGAAAUUGAAAGGCGGCUUCGGCUGUCACUUAUGGAUGGACCCGCGUCGCAUUAGCUAGUUGGUGAGGUAACGGCUCACCAAGGCAACGAUGCGUACCCGACCUGAGAGGGUGAUCGGCCACACUGGGACUGAGACACGGCCCAGACUCCUACGGGAGGCAGCAGUAGGGAAUCUUCCGCAAUGGACGAAAGUCUGACGGAGCAACGCCGCGUGAGUGAUGAAGGCUUUCGGGUCGUAAAACUCUGUUGUUAGGGAAGAACAAGUGCUAGUUGAAUAAGCUGGCACCUUGACGGUACCUAACCAGAAAGCCACGGCUAACUACGUGCCAGCAGCCGCGGUAAUACGUAGGUGGCAAGCGUUAUCCGGAAUUAUUGGGCGUAAAGCGCGCGCAGGUGGUUUCUUAAGUCUGAUGUGAAAGCCCACGGCUCAACCGUGGAGGGUCAUUGGAAACUGGGAGACUUGAGUGCAGAAGAGGAAAGUGGAAUUCCAUGUGUAGCGGUGAAAUGCGUAGAGAUAUGGAGGAACACCAGUGGCGAAGGCGACUUUCUGGUCUGUAACUGACACUGAGGCGCGAAAGCGUGGGGAGCAACAGGAUUAGAUACCCUGGUAGUCCACGCCG